rnacentral:rRNA from 1 species
CCUACGGGCGGCUGCAGUAGGGAAUAUUGGGCAAUGGACGGAAGUCUGACCCAGCCAUGCCGCGUGAAGGAAGAAGGCGUUAUGCGUCGUAAACUUCUUUUAUAAGAGACGAAAGAGACGGUGCGCCGUUUGUUGACGGUAUCUUAUGAAUAAGCAUCGGCUAACUACGUGCCAGCAGCCGCGGUAAUACGUAGGAUGCAAGCGUUGUCCGGAUUUACUGGGUUUAAAGGGUGCGUAGGCGGUUUUAUAAGUCAGUGGUGAAAUCUCAUAGCUUA